rnacentral:rRNA from 1 species
CACAUGCAAGUCGAACGAUGAAGCCCAGCUUGCUGGGCGGAUUAGUGGCGAACGGGUGAGUAACACGUGAGUAACCUGCCCUUGACUCUGGGAUAAGCCCGGGAAACUGGGUCUAAUACCGGAUAGGAGCGCCUGUCGCAUGACGGGUGCUGGAAAGAUCUUUCGGUCAUGGAUGGACUCGCGGCCUAUCAGCUUGUUGGUGAGGUAACGGCUCACCAAGGCGACGACGGGUAGCCGGCCUGAGAGGGUGACCGGCCACACUGGGACUGAGACACGGCCCAGACUCCUACGGGAGGCAGCAGUGGGGAAUAUUGCACAAUGGGCGAAAGCCUGAUGCAGCGACGCCGCGUGAGGGAUGACGGCCUUCGGGUUGUAAACCUCUUUCAGCAGGGAAGAAGCGAAAGUGACGGUACCUGCAGAAGAAGCACCGGCUAACUACGUGCCAGCAGCCGCGGUAAUACGUAGGGUGCGAGCGUUAUCCGGAAUUAUUGGGCGUAAAGAGCUCGUAGGCGGUUUGUCACGUCUGUCGUGAAAGUCCGGGGCUUAACCCCGGAUCUGCGGUGGGUACGGGCAGACUAGAGUGCAGUAGGGGAGACUGGAAUUCCUGGUGUAGCGGUGGAAUGCGCAGAUAUCAGGAGGAACACCGAUGGCGAAGGCAGGUCUCUGGGCUGUAACUGACGCUG